GGUUUCGCAUAGUGUAAUCACAAUUUUGUGCAUUUUAAAAUUACCUUAGACAACACUCAGAUUUGCAAGAGCAAAGGAAAUCAUUAACAAAUGAACUAUCAACGAUUGCCAAAAUUCUUUCCAUAUUGGCUGCCUAUACUUGGGUCUUCUGCAGCCAGAGUUUGCUCUGUUUCCUCUUUUGGAAGCUAGAAAAAUUAAAAAUUGUUGUUCUAUGUUUAAAAACUAUAGAAAUGCUGUUCUCCAAAGAGAAAAUACUGGAGCAGAACAGGUAUAUAUUCUGUGAACUUUGUUUUCCAAAAAGUCUGGUUGAGUAUUUAAGGUCCAGCUACCUACCAAGAAAUAUGCCAAGGUCUGCGAAGUGUAGAAUGCCAAACAAUGGCAUUUGUUUCAUCAAUUCAAUCCAUGUGUUUCAUCAAUUCAUGCAUUUUUUUUCCCUUAAAUAAUAAGUCAAUUUUAUCCUUUUGAUUCAACCAGCACAGCUUAGGGGAUGACACAUGCAUACAGUAGACUGUCAGAGUGGUAUACUUUGUAUAAUAGAAAUAAAUGAAGAUAAAAUAGAAAGGAAAAAAAGCAGAUGAUUUGCUAGGAACUCUGCCUGACCUGUAGUCCCUCAGCACAUAACAUUGUCUCUGGGGAAGAAAAGUUUAUCUUGGGCUGCAAACAGACAAUAAAUGGUAAGAAGCCUCAAGUUCUGAGACUUGGAUAACCACAGUAAGUAUCCCUUAUGGUAGGGCAGUGCAGAGCUCAGCUUUCUAAGAUGGAGAUUUCUAACGAAGAGACACAUUUCCCUAUGUAAUGAGAAAGUUGGGCUUAGAGGAUUUUUUAUUUUGCUUAUUUAUUGUGUGCAUGAAAAUUUUUGCUCUCAAGUUCAUUUUUGUCAGAUAUUGACAAAAUUCAGACUGCAUAAAGUUUAAAAAGGUAUCUACAGCAAUUUUUUUAAAAGCAUAGUUGAAAAUCUCUUAUCUUCUCCCUACUCCAUUUAAUUCAUCAACCUAGAAGAUGUGGUUAAAGCCCUCUUCUUAACAGUUUAGAAGUGUUGUGUUACCAUAGACUUUUGUUUGAGUAAUGUAAAAUAACUCGUGGAUAGUCUGACACUUUGCAAGAAAGCAUGUAACUCUGUUGUUCAGAUAUAACACCAGGAGGCCUUGGGAUUAUCUACCUAUCAGUGCUGAGAUGGAGAAAGAGUCAAAAGCAACCCUUCUUGCUCCAGGCAUGUGCAGGAGGUUUUUUGGUUUCAGCAUUUUGUUGCAUGCUGACUAUGUCCUUUACCUUCUCUUAAAUUAUGUAUCAAUUCAUGCUGGUUUAUUCACUUCCUGAUGUCUAUAUGAAGAGGCUGUCUGCCAACAUCUUUCAUCACUCUGCCUGCAACUAUGAAAAAUUUAGUUCUAAAAAAUGCAACCUUGCUAAAUUGAGUACUAAUAGGAUUGGUUCAAUUAUGUUCUAUGUCUGUUCCAUAUUGACAUUGUGUGCAUCUUUGCCAUGCAGGCUUUUUAGGAAUUAUCGCAUCUCUAACUUCCCACGAGUGUUUAUGAAAAUGUUUAGAUUUAAAGAACUUUAUUGCUUUAGACAGAAUAAGGCAUGCAGUUCUAACAGAAAGAUCCAUGAAUUCCAGAAAUAUCACUGAAAAUUAUUGACAUUUAAGAUUAUUUUCUGUUUGUUACUAUGGUUCACAAUUCAAGAAUAACUCUGGCCAGGUGCAGUAGCUCACACCCUGUAAUCCCAGCACUUUGGGAGGCUGAGGUAGGCAGAUCACUUGAGCUCAAGAGUUCAAGACCAGCCUGGGAAACAUGGCAAACUCCCACCAUUACAAAAAAAUACAAAAAUUAGUUGGUCAUGGUGGUGUUCACCUAUAGUCCCAGUGACUUGGGAGGCUGGGAUGGGAGGAUCUCUUGAGCCCAGGAGAUGCAGGCUUGCAGUGAGCCAUGAUCAUGCCACUGUACUGCAGACUGGGUGAAACAGCAAGAUCUUGUCUGAAAAGAAAAAAAAAAGUAAAAGAAAAAGAAAAGAAAAUAACUCCCAUUGCUAAAGACAUAUAUGCUUAUCAGCCACAGCAUGUUCCGAAGAGAUGAUUGGAAGAUGGAAGUGGAGGGUUAAAUAAUGAAAUGCAGCUA
ensembl:lncRNA TTTY14 testis expressed transcript, Y-linked 14